rnacentral:lncRNA from 10 species
AUGGUUGGGCUGGGUUUACAUUUAGGCGGUCUUACUCCAGAGUCAGUGCUCCUAACCAUUGCAAGCAACAAAUCUCAACAAAGUGGAGAAGGAAACGCUGGGAAAUUUGGAAGUCAGACAUGGCAGAGAGCUAAUGCUGGCAGCUAUUGGGAUGUCCUCUUCCAGGACUGGUGAUGAGUUUCCUGGUAUCCAGCCUUGGCCGGACUGAGUUGCUGACCUCCAUUAACAGCAGACAAAAUUGGAAGCAAGAGCGAUUCUGGAGGAGUCACACUUAGAUGUUUCCCUUACUUAUUUCUGUUCUGGAAAUUUAACAAUCUUACUUCUCAUGACAGUCCUACAUGAAAAAUUAAAAAUCACAAGGAUUCAUGGAUGGAAAACUGAGACCCGGAGAGAUAAUCACAGUCACGUCGUAAUAAAUCAGCAAUUGAGUGAGUGAUUGUUCCUUGGUAAGAAAUAUACUCUAAACUCAGUUG